rnacentral:rRNA from 1 species
UGGGGAAUAUUGGACAAUGGGCGAAAGCCUGAUCCAGCCAUGCCGCGUGUGUGAAGAAGGUCUUCGGAUUGUAAAGCACUUUAAGUUGGGAGGAAGGGCAUUAACCUAAUACGUUAGUGUUUUGACGUUACCGACAGAAUAAGCACCGGCUAACUCUGUGCCAGCAGCCGCGGUAAUACAGAGGGUGCAAGCGUUAAUCGGAAUUACUGGGCGUAAAGCGCGCGUAGGUGGUUUGUUAAGUUGGAUGUGAAAGCCCCGGGCUCAACCUGGGAACUGCAUCCAAAACUGGCAAGCUAGAGUACGGGAGAGGGUGGUGGAAUUGCCUGUGUAGCGGUGAAAUGCGUAGAGAUAGGAAGGAACACCAGUGGCGAAGGCGACCACCUGGACUGAUACUGACACUGAGGUGCGAAAGCGUGGGGAGCAAACA